GCCGAUGGCAGCCAUUGACAGAACACUGUUUGAACACUGAUCGUCAACGUUAUACUCUUGCGUGGGAGAUCCGUAGUUUACGAUGAAGCUUUCCCUGAGGAUUAGGGGGGAAUGGUUGGCGCUUCCUUGUAAUGGCAAGGAGAAGAUCUCCUGGCUUGGAGGCGAGGGGCUGAAGCGGUACUACAAGACGAAGAGCAAUGUUGGUCAUGCAGAGGAGACUGUGUAUGAGAUUCGCAAAGCUAAGGGUGGGGCUAUACUGGACCCCGACGACGCCGUGAGGGACGUCCUGGAUGACAACGACUUCGUCACUGUUGUUCUGGACAGUGACAUGUCAAGUCCGGUAACCGGACCGGCUGAGAUCGUGUACAUGGAGGAGAAAGUACCUAAAGCCAGUGUGAAGACGGCAUCAGAUUAUAUCUCGCUGGAUGGAAACAGCUUAGCCGCGGACGAUCUCGUGAGACUUGGGAAAGGAGAGUUUCUUGUGAAGUUAACAACCGAGGCCGAACAAAACGUACAGAAGUCACGUGACCUUGUGGAUGAGAUACUCGCUAGUAAUAAAGUUGUCUAUGGAAUCACAACAGGAUUUGGUAAAUUUGCUCGGACUACCAUACCUAAAGAUAAACUUGUAGAACUCCAAGAAAACCUCAUCCGCUCCCAUGCAGCAGGUGUUGGUCCCCCGUUGUCCCCCGAGAGGACCCGGAUGUUGCUGGCUCUGCGUAUCAAUGUCCUCGCCAAGGGCUACAGUGGCAUCUCCUUGGAAACUCUGGGACAGUAUAUGGCAGCGUUUAAUGCAUCCUGCCUUCCAUGGGUUCCCCAGAAGGGAUCGGUGGGGGCUAGCGGAGACCUUGCACCUCUCUCUCAUCUCGCGCUAGGCAUGAUGGGAGAGGGGAAGAUGUGGUCGCCGAAGAGUGGAUGGGCUGAUGCUAAAUAUGUACUCGAGUCUCAUAACCUCACUCCGAUAAAGCCCAAGCCUAAAGAGGGCCUUGCAAUGAUAAAUGGAACACAACUUAUAACAUCUUUAGGAGUUGAAGCUAGCGAGAGGUCGGAGUCCAUUACCAGACAGGCAGACAUUGUCGCGGCCAUGACCUUGGAGGUACUGAAGGGUUCAACAAGGGCAUUCGAUAGCAAUAUUCAGAAAGUGCGACCACACAAAGGCCAAGGUCUGGUUGCUAGGCGACUAAGAUCACUCCUUCAUUCUGAAACACAUCCAUCUCAGAUAGCAGAGAGCCACAGGUUCUGUGACCGGGUUCAAGACGCGUACACGCUAAGGUGCUGUCCGCAGGUGCACGGCAUCGUGAACGACACUGUGGCCUUCGUCAGGGGCAUCCUGGUCACCGAGAUGAACAGCGCCACAGACAACCCUAUGGUGUUUGCUGAGACUGGCGAGAUUCUGUCAGGGGGGAACUUCCACGGGGAGUACCCGGCCAAGGCUCUGGACUACCUUGCUAUCGGGGUGCACGAGCUGGCCAACAUGAGCGAGCGACGGAUAGAGAGACUUGUUAAUCCGGCUCUGAGUGAACUCCCAGCCUUCCUGACUAAAGAGGGCGGACUCAACUCGGGCUUCAUGAUCGCCCACUGUACAGCAGCAUCUCUAGUGUCCGAGAACAAGGUGCUGUGUCACCCAUCGUCAGUGGACUCGCUGACCACCAGCGCUGGGACGGAGGACCACGUGUCUAUGGGGGCCUUCUCCGCCAGGAAGUGUCUCAGGGUCGUGGAACACGUGGAACAAGUCUUGGCAAUCGAGUUACUGGCAGCCUGCCAGGCGAUGGAGUUUCUGCGACCCCUGACGACGACGCCGCCCCUGGAAGAGGUGCACAAGCUGGUCCGGUCAGUCGUCGGCCCCUGGAACAGAGACAGGUUCAUGGCUCCGGACAUCGAGGCAGUCACCAAGCUUCUACAGGAGGAAAAGAUCUGGAGGAAGGUGAAGCCGAUGAUGGACAACUACCACUCCGUACAGACAAUCGAAACCAGGGUGUUCUCUCCCACCACCGCCAGACUGGACGGACCACCCCCCAAACGCCGGAGAUACAACAGCAAGACCGUGAAAUAACUCCUAGAUACAACAGCAAGACUGUGAAGUAACUGCCAAAUACAACAGCAAGACAGUGAAAUAAUAUAGGGCAGACAGGUGACCUCCGCAUAAGCAAGGUCGAGCAUCAGUUUGAUCACCCUGGUGUUAUUGACUAAAGAAGUAGUUGAAUGAUGCUCAUACGAACUUUAACACACAUGCUGGUGACAGGUGUCUUAACUUGGUUUGUAAUAAAGAAGAAAUUGUU